UACGUAGGGUCCGAGCGUUGUCCGGAAUUAUUGGGCGUAAAGGGCUCGUAGGCGGUCUGUUGCGUCGGGAGUGAAAACUUACAGCUUAACUGUGAGCGUGCUUCCGAUACGGGCAGACUUGAGGUAUUCAGGGGAGAACGGAAUUCCUGGUGUAGCGGUGAAAUGCGCAGAUAUCAGGAGGAACACCGAUUGCGAAGGCAGCUCGCUGGAACGUAACUGACGCUGAGACGCGAAAGCGUGGGGAGCAAACAGG
rnacentral:rRNA from 1 species